AUUGAACGCUGGCGGCAGGCUUAACAAAUGCAAGUCGAGCGAGCGGCGGACGGGUGAGUAGUGUCUGGGAAACUGCCUGAUGGAGGGGGAUAACUACUGGAAACGGUGGCUAAUACCGCAUACCAUCAGAUGUGCACAGAUGGGAUUAGAUAGUAGGUGGGGUAAUGGCUCACCUAGGCGACGAUCACUAGCUGGGCUGAGAGGAUGAACAGCCACCCUGGAACGGAGACACGGUCCAGACUCCUACGGGAGGCAGCAGUGGGGAAUAUUGCACAAUGGGCGCAAGCCUGAUGGAGCCAUGCCGCGUGUGUGAAGAAGGCCUUCGGGUUGUAAAGCACUUUCAGCGAGGAGGCGUUACUCGCAGAAGAAGCAACGGCUAACUCCGUGCCAGCAGCCGCGGUAAUUC
rnacentral:rRNA from 1 species